AUUGAACGCUGGCGGCAUGCCUUACACAUGCAAGUCGAACGGCAGCACGGGUGCUUGCCCCUGGUGGCGAGUGGCGAACGGGUGAGUAAUACAUCGGCACAUGUCCUGUAGUGGGGGAUAGCCCGGCGAAAGCCGGAUUAAUACCGCAUACGAUCUACGGAUGAAAGCGGGGGCCCUUCGGGCCUCGCGCUAUCGGGUUGGCCGAUGGCUGAUUAGCUAGUUGGUGGGGUAAAGGCCCACCAAGGCGACGAUCAGUAGCUGGUCUGAGAGGACGACCAGCCACACUGGGACUGAGACACGGCCCAGACUCCUACGGGAGGCAGCAGUGGGGAAUUUUGGACAAUGGGCGAAAGCCUGAUCCAGCAAUGCCGCGUGUGUGAAGAAGGCCUUCGGGUUGUAAAGCACUUUUGUCCGGAAAGAAAUCCUUGGCCCUAAUACGGUCGGGGGAUGACGGUACCGGAAGAAUAAGCACCGGCUAACUACGUG
rnacentral:rRNA from 1 species